GGAAAGCGGCCUUCUGGGACUCCGCAAACUCCCGUUCUCCCUCCCCCCUCCCCCUUGCCAUUCCCUUUGCCUUCCGGGCGCCAAGUCUCUCUGGCCUCCAAGGUGAACCCAACUCCCCAGCGCGCCCCGGGUUCCCGGGUCGGGCCGGCUUCAGGCGGUGGGGAGCGGGAUCCCGGGCCCCGGGCGGGCGGGAGGGACGGGACGCGGUGCAGUGUUGUUUUUUCCCCCGCCAAUAUUGCACUCGUCCCGGCCUCCGGCCCCCCCGGCCCCCCGGCCUCCCCGCUACCCCUAGCGGGGCAGCCCCCGCCCUCCUGGCUCUCCAUCCCGGCGGAUCUUUGAUAGACUGGAGUGUCGCCGCUGCCACCACGGGAAAAUGGGUCAUGGAGGAGUGACUUCACCAACAUCACUCAUAGGUGCUUGUGUCCGUGGUGAGAAGGGUGAUGGAGAGAAGUGGCUGCAGUUCCCACCCAUGGAGAGGUCACUGGUGAAUCCCAGCUAAAGAGGAAGGACAGGCCCGGCCUGAGUCCCACAGGCUUACCAUCUGAGUCCUUCUGAUUGGGAUUGGGUACCAGGCGGCAGUUAUCGGGACCAGGAGGCACAUAAUCUGGGAUGCCAUCAUUGUCAUCAUCCCCAUCACACUCAUCUCCAAGUCCAUCGUUAUCAGAGUCCAGCUGGGAGCUAUUUGGCAGCUGUGGGCAGUUGUCCUUGGUGUCCUGAUGCCCAUCCCCAUCGCUAAUCAGAAGAACAGGUUGGUGAAAGUCCCGAACUUUGUCUCCCCACCCAGAGGACAACUGGCCAGGAAAUCUGCCUGUUUCUUGUCUCACCCUCUAGUCCACACUCUGCCUAACACUACGCCCUACCUCACAUUCCUAUUGACAUCUGCUGCAGGUAAUCUCUCCUCACCCAGGCCAACGUCCACAAGC
rnacentral:lncRNA from 1 species